rnacentral:rRNA from 1 species
AGAAUCAACGCUGGCGGCGUGCCUAACACAUGCAAGUCGAACGAGAAAGUGGAGCAAUCCAUGAGUAAAGUGGCGCACGGGUGAGUAACACGUGACUAACCUACCCUUGAGUGGGGGAUAACCUAGAGAAACCUGGGCUAAUACCGCAUAAUACCUUCGGGUCAAAGGAGCAAUUCGCUUUAGGAGGGGGUCGCGGCCGAUUAGUUAGUUGGCGGGGUAAUGGCCCACCAAGACGAUGAUCGGUA